rnacentral:rRNA from 1 species
GAUGAACGCUGGCGGCGUGCUUAACACAUGCAAGUCGAACGGAAAGGCCGAAGCUUGCUUCGCUACUCGAGUGGCGAACGGGUGAGUAACACGUGGGUGAUCUGCCCUGUACUUCGGGAUAAGCUUGGGAAACUGGGUCUAAUACCGGAUAUGACAAUCUCUUGGAUGGGGUUGUGGAAAGCUUUUGCGGUAUGGGAUGAGCUCGCGGCCUAUCAGCUUGUUGGUGGGGUAAUGGCCUACCAAGGCGUCGACGGGUAGCCGGCCUGAGAGGGUGUACGGCGACAUUGGGACUGAGAGACGGCCCAGACUCCUACGGGAGGCAGCAGUGGGGAAUAUUGCACAAUGGGCGCAGGCCUGAUGCAGCGACGCCGCGUGGGGGAUGACGGCCUUCGGGUUGUAAACUCCUUUCGCAACCGACGAAGCUUUUUGUGACGGUAGGUUGAGAAGAAGCACCGGCUAACUACGUG